CCCAUGGAUGACAGCAAAAGUGAGUUGGC
rnacentral:piRNA from 1 species